CUCUGGAAUAAACUACAAUAAUCUGACAAACAAUUCUGAUUUGUAAUUUAUGCGUUCUUUUUAUUUGGUGCAGUAUGGAUUUUCAUAAAAAGGAAUCUUCCCAAAGGAAAGCUGAGUGGAGGAAUAAAUCAAGAAGGAAUAAACUAUUACAACAACCUUAUCAAUGAGCUGGUGGCUAAUGGUAUAAAACCAUUUGUGACUCUUUUCGUUGGGGUCUUUCCCAAGCACUGGAAGAUGAGUAUGGUGGCUUUCUAAGUCCACUGAUAGUAAAGGACUUUCGAGAUUAUGCAGAACUUUGCUUCAAGGAAUUUGGUGAUAGGGUGAAGUAUUGGGUUACAUUGAAUGAACCCUGGAGUUGCAGUCAGAAUGGGUAUGCAAGUGGAGUAAUGGCACCAGGUCGCUGUUCUGCAUGGAUGAAUUCAAAUUGCACAGGUGGUGAUUCUUCAAUUGAGCCAUAUCUGGUCACACAUCACCAACUUCUUGCUCAUGCAGCAGCUAUGCGUCUCUA